rnacentral:rRNA from 1 species
UACGUAGGGCGCAAGCGUUGUCCGGAAUUAUUGGGCGUAAAGAGCUCGUAGGUGGCUUGUCACGUCGGGUGUGAAAGCUUGGGGCUUAACUCCAGGUCUGCAUUCGAUACGGGCUGGCUAGAGGUAGGUAGGGGAGAACGGAAUUCCUGGUGUAGCGGUGAAAUGCGCAGAUAUCAGGAGGAACACCGGUGGCGAAGGCGGUUCUCUGGGCCGAUACUGACGCUGAGGAGCGAAAGCGUGGGGAGCGAACAGG